CGUGAGGGAAAGGCGAAAAGAACCCCGGCGAGGGGAGUGAAAAAGAACCUGAAACCGUGUACGUACAAGCAGUGGGAGCACGCUUAGGCGUGUGACUGCGUACCUUUUGUAUAAUGGGUCAGCGACUUAUAUUCUGUAGCAAGGUUAACCGAAUAGGGGAGCCGAAGGGAAACCGAGUCUUAACUGGGCGUUAAGUUGCAGGGUAUAGACCCGAAACCCGGUGAUCUAGCCAUGGGCAGGUUGAAGGUUGGGUAACACUAACUGGAGGACCGAACCGACUAAUGUUGAAAAAUUAGCGGAUGACUUGUGGCUGGGGGUGAAAGGCCAAUCAAACCGGGAGAUAGCUGGUUCUCCCCGAAAGCUAUUUAGGUAGCGCCUCGUGAAUUCAUCUCCGGGGGUAGAGCACUGUUUCGGCAAGGGGGUCAUCCCGACUUACCAACCCGAUGCAAACUGCGAAUACCGGAGAAUGUUAUCACGGGAGACACACGGCGGGUGCUAACGUCCGUCGUGAAGAGGGAAACAACCCAGACCGCCAGCUAAGGUCCCAAAGUCAUGGUUAAGUGGGAAACGAUGUGGGAAGGCCCAGACAGCCAGGAUGUUGGCUUAGAAGCAGCCAUCAUUUAAAGAAAGCGUAAUAGCUCACUGGUCGAGUCGGCCUGCGC
rnacentral:rRNA from 1 species